ACACAUGCAGUCGAACGAAGCUUGACGAAUGAUUUCUUCGGAAUGAAAUCUGAUAUGACUGAGUGGCGGACGGGUGAGUAACGCGUGAGCAACCUGCCCUUCGGAACGGGAUAGUGUCUGGAAACGGACAGUAAUACCGUAUAACGUAUUUUUACCGCAUGAUAGAAAUACCAAAACUGAGGUGCCGAAGGAUGGGCUCGCGUCUGAUUAGAUAGUUGGUGGGGUAACGGCCUACCAAGUCGACGAUCAGUAGCCGGACUGAGAGGUUGAACGGCCACAUUGGGACUGAGACACGGCCCAGACUCCUACGGGAGGCAGCAGUGGGGAAUAUUGCACAAUGGGGGAAACCCUGAUGCAGCAACGCCGCGUGAAGGAAGACGGUUUUCGGAUUGUAAACUUCUGUUCUUAGUGAAGAAUAAUGACGGUAGCUAAGGAGCAAGCCACGGCUAACUACGUGCCAGCAGCCGCGGUAAUACGUAGGUGGCAAGCGUUGUCCGGAAUUACUGGGUGUAAAGGGAGCGUAGGCGGGAUGCCAAGUCAGCUGUGAAAACUAUGGGCUUAACCUGUAGACUGCAGUUGAAACUGGUAUUCUUGAGUGAAGUAGAGGUUGGCGGAAUUCCGAGUGUAGCGGUGAAAUGCGUAGAUAUUCGGAGGAACACCGGUGGCGAAGGCGGCCAACUGGGCUUUAACUGACGCUGAGGCUCGAAAGUGUGGGGAGCAAACAGGAUUAGAUACCCUGGUAGUCCACACUGUAAACGAUGAUAACUAGGUGUGGGGGGGUCUGACCCCUUCCGUGCCGCAGCUAACGCAAUAAGUUAUCCACCUGGGGAGUACGACCGCAAGGUUGAAACUCAGAGGAAUUGACGGGGACCCGCACAAGCAGUGGAUUAUGUGGUUUAAU
rnacentral:rRNA from 1 species